rnacentral:rRNA from 1 species
AUACGUAGGGGGCGAGCGUUGUCCGGAAUGAUUGGGCGUAAAGGGCGCGUAGGCGGCCUGUUAAGUCUGGAGUGAAAGUCCUGUUUUCAAGAUGGGAAUUGCUUUGGAUACUGAUGGGCUUGAGUGCAGGAGAGGUUAACGGAAUUCCCGGUGUAGCGGUGAAAUGCGUAGAGAUCGGGAGGAACACCAGUGGCGAAGGCGGGUAACUGGACUGCAACUGACGCUGAGGCGCGAAAGUGUGGGGAGCAAACAGGAUUAGAUACCCUGGUAGUCCACACUGUAAACGAUGAAUGCUAGGUGUAGGGGGUAUCGACCCCUUCUGUGCCGCAGUCAACACAAUAAGCAUUCCGCCUGGGGAGUACGGCCGCAAGGUUGAAACUCAAAGGAAUUGACGGGG